UAAUACGAGCAGGCACCCAGAAGAGAUGAAAAAUGAGCUCAGGGCCUGGGUUAGACACAAAUUACCAGGAAUUUUUUUUUUUUUUUUUGGACAGGAAAAUUCCUUGAAAGCCUCAAACCUUCUCCUUUUGAAUUUGUCUGAUUUACCAGCAUCAUCCUGCCCCCACCCACUGACCAAGAGGAAUAAAACAGCUGCUGAAAUAUCGAAUUUUAGGAGAAGAGUUGAACACAUCUCUGGUCUAGAAUAAGGAGAAAUAUAAAUAUUGCCUUUUU